GCGGCGUCGCGGAGCUCGGGCCGGUGGAAGGUUUACCUGCUAGGCUCGUCCCACCUGUGUGGAGCUCCCAUCGCCCUCCAGCGUUGCGCAGCCUGAAGGGACAGGACGGACAAGCGGGUGCCUCCUUCUAAUUCAUCUUCACCAUUGUGGUUGUCAAUAUGGCAUGCAGAAUUAUCCCUCUUUCCAGCUUCUGGAGUCUACCUGGAUUCCUGGGCUCAUGGCCCCUUCCUCCAUCUUCAAACCAGCAAUGGAAAUGGAAAUGAAAGCAAAAUGGAAGGACGUGAGGUCCUUAUCCUUGGAGAUCCUAUGGAGUCUCCACAGACAUUCCUUGAAGAAAUCAGAUGGAGCUGAGCCUGACACUCUAACCGGUUCUCUGGGUGUACUGCAAAGGUCUAAUAAAAGGCACCUUUGCCCGGUUGCUUCAAUUCUAGGAAGCUGUUCAAUGUUUGACUAUAUUUCUCCAUACUCAUUUGAAAACAGUUCAUCAGAGACAGAAACUAAAAUCCGUGGCUUCAGGCUGCUAAAAGCCGAAAACAAAACAAAACAGAACAACAACGACAACAACAACAAAAUAAGGUGUGUUGGAAAAGCUUGCAUGAGUUUACAUAUAUCCUCUCACUUAAUGAUCACAAUCCUGUGAGUUAAUUUGUGUUUCCUUUCUUAUGUUACUGUAAGGAAAAAAGCUUGGAGAAAUUGUGUGCCCAGGGCCACAGAACAAGAAAGUUGCAGAGAUGGAAACCCAGACAGGCUCCUCGUGGUGACCUCCCAUCCUAUUGCUGGCUCUCUGCUCUUUACUGCAACCACAUGUCACUUGGAUACCCCGGAGAGCGGCAGGAAAGCAUCAACCAGCUUCCAGAACAAACACCGUCCUGUCGACACCUUGAUCUUAGCCCCAGAGACCCAUUUCCAACUUCUGACUGCCAGAAAGAUGACAAUUCAUCAUUGAAUCCCCCAAAAGCAUGCAUCAAGCCAGAUCUAGAAAGCUUCUGUAUGCUGAGAAAGGAGGCCUACUGUACUAUGUCCACUAGACGGAACCUAAAAGGUCCGCCCCUGCUACAGGCCGCAAGGAAUGUUCUGAAACAAUCCAUGGCACAGCUGCAGAGCUAUGGAAGGGGCCUGAACCCUAACUCUCAGUACCUGGAUGGUCUCUGGCAAGACACUGCACCUCUCUGAGGUAAAACCCUCAACUUGUAGAGUUAUAAAAAUUCAUUCAUUCAAGAAAGUGGCUUUCAACUAGGGGCCAUUAUGCACCACCACCCACCAAGGGGACUUUUUGGCCAUGUUUGGGGACAUAUUUGUUUGUCACAAGCACUUUCUUUACCAUUCUUUUUUUUUUUUUUUUUUUGGGAUGGAGUCUCACUCUGUCGCCCAGGCCAGAGUGCAGUGGCGUGAUCUAGGCUGGCUGCAACCUCCACCUCCCGGGUUCAAGCAAUUCUCCUGCCUCAGCCUCCUGAGUAGCUGGGACCACAUGCACGCGCCGCCAUGCCUGGUUAAUUUUUGUAUUUUUAGUAGAGACGGGGUUUCACCAUGUUGGUCAGACUGGUCUCAAACUCCUGACUUCAUGAUCCACCCACCUUGGGCUUCCAAAGUGCUAGGAUUACAGGUGUGAGCCACCAUGCCCAGCCUUCUUUACCAUUCUUUAUGAGGCAUUUGAUAUUAUAGAAAAAUCCUUUAAGUCACUAAACAGUUGGUCAAGAUUCAGACCUUCAUUUUUGUUUCAAGAUUUUUAUACAAAAUGUAUAUGAUCUCAAAUUACAUAGACCGGGAUGUAGGGGAAAGGAGGCAAGUAAACUAUGGUCCGCUAGAGUCACUAUGUCAAUGUUAUAUUUUUUAACCUGGUUAACAUCUCUUCAUGACAAUUUUUAGCUAUUUCCUUCCAAAGAGCCAAAACAGGAGAAAUACGAGAAUAG
rnacentral:lncRNA from 1 species